ACUGCCCCUCCACUCCCUGUGAAGAGCUGCAGCCGCUGUGAGGCCUCCCCUCAGCUCCUCAGCUCUGGGCUGAGCCAACCCAGGGACUUCAGCUGCUCUUCAAACACCUUGCCGUUGAGACCCUUCCCUGUCUUUGUAGGCCUCUUCUGGACACUCACUGUUCUUCUUAUACUGUGGUGCCCAAAGCUGCACACAGUGCUUGAGAAUCACAGAACUGUAGGGGCUGGAAGGAACCUCUAGAGAUCGACAAGUCCAGCCCCUCUGCCAAAGCACUCUUGCUAGACCAGGUUGCACAGCUUCCCUCUAGCUUGGAGAAGCACACAGUCUGGAUGGGGGCUUCUCAGAAUCACAGAAUUGUAGGGGUUGGAUGGGACCUCUGGAGAUUACCGAGUCUAACACUUUGCUAAAGCAGGUUCCCUACAGCAGGUCACACAGGAAAGUGUCUGGGUGGACUUUGGAUAUCUCCAGAGAAGGAGACUACAUGAUCUCUCUGGGCAGCCUGUUCAAGUGCUCCGUCACCCUCAUAUAAUUUUUUUUUUCUCAUGUUAGUUUGGAAUUUCCUAUGUUCCAGUUUGUGCCCAUUGCCCUUUGUUGUGUUGCUGGGCACUGAUGAAAAGAGCCUGGCUCCAUCUGCUUGACUCUCACCCAUUAGAUAUUUAUACAUAUUGCUAAGAUCCCCACUCAGACUUCUCCAGGCUGAACAGCCCCAAGUCUCUCAGCCUUUCUUUGUAUAGAAGAUGCCCCAGGCCCCUCAUCAUCUUUGUGGCCCUCCACUGGACUCUCUCUGGGAGAUUCCUGACUUUGUUGAACUGGGAAGCGCAGAGCUGCACACUAUAUUUCAGAUGUGACCUCACCAGGGCUGAGUAGUGGAGGAAGUUAGCCUCCCUCAAUCUGCUGACCAUGCUCUUUUUAAUGCAGCUCAGGAGAACUUGGAGAAUCAUAGACUGAUAAAACUGUAGAAAUUGUCAACUGUGCCUAACAGGCUUUGCAUUGUUUCCUCUCUUAUUUUCUUAAUAUGUAGUAAAAUACCAUGUAAAUAAAAUU
ensembl:lncRNA